GACGAACGCUGGCGGCGUGCUUAACACAUGCAAGUCGAACGGUGACGAAGAGCUUGCUCUUCUGAUCAGUGGCGAACGGGUGAGUAACACGUGAGCAACCUACCCUUGACACUGGGAUAACAGUUGGAAACAGCUGCUAAUACCGGAUAUGAACCUCACAGGCAUCUGAGAGGGUGGAAAGCUCCGACGGUCAAGGAUGGGCUCGCGGCCUAUCAGCUUGUUGGUGAGGUAACGGCUCACCAAGGCGACGACGGGUAGCCGGCCUGAGAGGGCGACCGGCCACACUGGGACUGAGAUACGGCCCAGACUCCUACGGGAGGCAGCAGUGGGGAAUAUUGCGCAAUGGGCGAAAGCCUGACGCAGCAACGCCGCGUGCGGGAUGACGGCCUUCGGGUUAUAAACCGCUUUCAGCAGGGACGAAACUGACGGUACCUGCAGAAGAAGCACCGGCUAACUACGUGCCAGCCGCCGCCGUAACAC
rnacentral:rRNA from 1 species